UACGGAGGGUGCAAGCGUUGCUCGGAAUUACUGGGCGUAAAGCGAACGCAGGCGGUUCACUAAGUCGGGCGUGAAAUCCCUGGGCUCAACCCAGGAACUGCACUCGAAACUACUUUUCUUGAGUGCCGGAGAGGAAAGCGGAAUUCCUGGUGUAGAGGUGAAAUUCGUAGAUAUCAGGAGGAAUACCAGUGGCGAAGGCGGCUUUCUGGACGGUAACUGACGCUGAGACGCGAAAGCGUGGGGAGCAAACGGG
rnacentral:rRNA from 1 species